rnacentral:rRNA from 1 species
GACAGAGGAUGCAAGCGUUAUCCGGAAUGAUUGGGCGUAAAGCGUCUGUAGGUGGCUUUUUAAGUCCGCCGUCAAAUCCCAGGGCUCAACCCUGGACAGGCGGUGGAAACUACCAAGCUGGAGUACGGUAGGGGCAGAGGGAAUUUCCGGUGGAGCGGUGAAAUGCGUAGAUAGUUGGAAAGACCACCAACGGCGAAAGCACUCUGCUGGGCCGACACUGACACUGAGAGACGAAAGCUAGGGGAGCGAAUGGG